rnacentral:tRNA from 1 species
GCUCAGUUGGUGGAGCACAAGGCUCUUAACCUUAUGGACAUGGGUUCGAGCCCCAU